rnacentral:piRNA from 1 species
UACUGGCCACAGCCUCAGCAUCUAGCCUGU